ACACUCGUUUUAAGUAACAUGUUACUGAUUCCAGUCUUGGUUCACAAAUCUGUAGCUUAAAAUAACUACCCAAGUGUUUCUAAUAAAGCAUUCUGAUUUAAUAAUUUUUUAUUACAUUUACAGGCAGGUAUAUCAUUUGUCUGUUAAAAUCCAGUAUUCAGCAAGAAUGCUUUUUAAUAUUGGGGCAUUUAUAGAUCCUUGGCAUGGUUUAUGAAAAACAUAAGAGAGAGGAAGUGUCAGAAAAUACAAACAAUUCUCCUUGGACAGGAAAGCAAAACAGAAGGAAACCCUGGGGUAAUAUGGCUUAUGCGUCACCAAAGACCCUGGAGGAAGAGUGCUGAGAAUGAGGAAGUGGGGCCAAAUCUGGAGGCCUUGAAAGCCUGAAGGUUUGUUCAUCUACGAUCAGUGUGGAGGGGCGUAUUUAAGAGUUUGAAAAACAUAAUUGUGUUUAUAAACGUCACUCCAACUAUAGAGACUGGAGGCAUAACACAGGAGGCAGGAGACAAGUCAGAGAUCUGAAUCCACAGUCCAGGAAAAAGAUGAUCACAGGCUCUACUAGGAACUGAAUGAUAAAAAUAAAUAUAUGCAAGAGAUAUUCCAGAAGCAAAGCUAAAUAUAUUUGAUGACUGUUCAAAUGUUGGUGGUGAAGGAGGAGAAGACCAGUGCACCUCACAUAGCUGUGCAGGUUGUACACUGAGCAACCCAGGAGUGCCAUGGUCAUCACGUCUACAUGGAAGUCUCGUGAAGAAGUUGUACAAAGUGGCAGAACCUGAAAGCCCAAUGAUGAAAGA
rnacentral:lncRNA from 1 species